rnacentral:tRNA from 2 species
GCGCCCGUAGCUCAGCUGGAUAGAGUACUGCCCUCCGAAGGCAGGGGUCACAGGUUCGAAUCCUGUCGGGCGCACCA